CACUUUUAGUUGCCAUCAUUAAGUUGGGCACUCUGAAAGAACUGCCAGUGAUAAGCUGGAGGAAGGUGGGGAUGACGUCAAGUCCUCAUGGCCCUUACGUGUUGGGCUACACACGUGCUACAAUGGCAUCUACAACAGGAAGCAAAACGGCAACGUUAAGCAAAUCCCGAAAAGAUGCCUCAGUUCGGAUUGCACUCUGCAACUCGAGUGCAUGAAGCUGGAAUUACUAGUAAUCGUGGAUCAGCGUGCCACGGUGAAUGCGUUCCCGGGUCUUGUACACACCGCCCGUCACACCAUGGGAGUUGGUUCUACCUUAAGGCAAGGUUUUAAACCCUUGACCACGGUAUAGUCAGCGACUGGGGUGAAGUCGUAACAAGGUAGCCGUAGGGGAACCUGCGGCUGGAUUACCUCCUUUCUAAGGAUGAGUGAAAGUAAAAUUUCACUCUAAAUAAUAUACAUCGGUAAUGUUGACCGUCCUCAUUUCUCUUCUUAAAGUAAUGUUUCCUUCUUGUAGGGCCGGUAGCUCAGUUGGUUAGAGCACACCCUUGAUAAGGGUGGGGUCGAAAGUUCGAGUCUUUCUCGGCCCACCAUACUUAACUGGGGGAUUAGCUCAGCUGGGAGAGCGCCUGAUUUGCAUUCAGGAGGUCAGCGGUUCGAUCCCGCUAUCCUCCACCAGGAAACAUUUAGUUAUUAAAACUGUAAAUAAAAAUAAUUUAUAUCAAUAUCUAUAUCCGAACAUUAAAAGUUAUUAUUUAAUGUUCAAAAUAAAAAUUUGAUCACAACAUAGAUAAAUUUUCUUUAAAAAGAAUUUUUUUCUGUGCAUAAAUCAAGCGUUUAAGGGCGUGUAGUGGAUGCCUUGGCACUGAAAGCCGAUGAAGGACGUGAUAUACUGCGAUAAGUUUCGGGGAGC
rnacentral:rRNA from 1 species